rnacentral:rRNA from 1 species
UACCUUCGGGUUCGGGACAACUGGCUGAAAAGCCAGCUAAUACCGGAUGAGACCACGGCCCCCUCGGGGGCUGCGGCCAAAGAUGGCCUCUUCUUGAAAGCUAUCGCCUGAGGAUGGGCCUGCGGACCAUUAGCUUGUUGGUGAGGUAACGGCUCACCAAGGCUGCGAUGGAUAGCUGGUCUGAGAGGAUGAUCAGCCACACUGGGACUGAGACACGGCCCAG